GGGUUGGUGGUGGAGUGGAAAUAUGCGCCGUGGCUACAGUCGCGCCCAUGGCGAGUCGUAGGUUCAAGUCCUGCCCAAUCUG